GGGGCAGAGAGGUUGUCACUUACUCAGAGUCUGCACACACUCAAGUAUUAAGUCAGAGGCAAGUCUAGAACCCAGGUCUUCCUGACUGAGACUGGCUCUCUAUUCACUCUACCUGCCCGCCUCUGUGGCAUGUAGGGAAGGCAGUGGGAGGGUUGAGAAUGAAUUCCCAGAGGGAGGGGCCUGCUUCCCAAAAGUAGACCAGACUGGAGACAUCGUGGGAUCUGCUCUCACAAAGGGUGACCUAGAGGAUGUCUCCUGACUGGGCAUGGAAAUAACUCAUGACCAGCAAAUAUGGUAUAAUAGCUAAGGUAGGGUAUCUCCUUGAGGAUCCCAUAACCUAAUUCAAACUCUUAUCCCCC
rnacentral:RNase_P_RNA from 1 species